rnacentral:rRNA from 1 species
CCUACGGGAGGCAGCAGUGAGGAAUAUUGGUCAAUGGGCGCGAGCCUGAACCAGCCAAGUAGCGUGAAGGAUGACUGCCCUACGGGUUGUAAACUUCUUUUAUAAAGGAAUAAAGUGAGGCACGUGUGCCUUUUUGUAUGUACUUUAUGAAUAAGGAUCGGCUAACUCCGUGCCAGCAGCCGCGGUAAUACGGAGGAUCCGAGCGUUAUCCGGAUUUAUUGGGUUUAAAGGGAGCGUAGAUGGGUUGUUAAGUCAGUUGUGAAAGUUUGCGGCUCAACCGUAAAAUUGCAAUUGAUACUGGCAGCCUUGAGUACAGUUGAGGUAGGCGGAAUGCGCAGUGUAGCGGUGAAAUGCUUAGAUAUUGCGCAGAACUCCGAUUGCGAAGGCAGCAUACCGGCGGCGAUCUGACGCUGAGGCACGAAAGCGUGGGUAUCGAACAGGAUUAGAUACCCCAGUAGUC